AUGUUCGAAAACCUUUUGUUCAAAAAUAUCCAAAUCAAAAACAGAAACAAGAAGUUAAAGAGCAUUCAGUCACUAUGGAAAAGAAAACAACCUUCUAAAGUAAAAAAGAAGAACACGGUGGAAGUGAAGAGUUUUCCGGAGAGACAAAGUGGGUUCCAGUGCGGUUUGGGAGGAUUAUGUUCAGUGUUGUUCUGGCGAGAGGGAGGUGGUCUGAGAUUUGUUUUCGGUUCAAGCAAGAACAAGAGUUGUAGGUCGAUUUCCGAUGGUGAUUCUGGAGACGAUAAAGGUUUUUCAACGAAGGAGCGAAUCUCCAGCAGUUGGAUUGCAGCUCUGACGAUUUCGGUUUUCAGGUGA